UGGAACAUAUGGCCUAUAUUUGAAUAGUUGUGGGAAUAACUGUGGGAACAUGGAGCAGCAAGAAUAAGCUGUGGGACCAAUGGGCUGUGGGAAACAUAGAGCAGCUGACCCCCAACAGGGUCUUCAUGGUUGUAUGACCUGAAUACAUUUUCAAAGCGGAGCCACAGGAUGCGGACUUCUACUCUUUUCCACUAUUAGACGCGCCUUUGUCCUGCACCUGGCCUCAGCGAGGUGGGAUGUGCAUACUCUUACUUUUAUAAAAAUGUUGUAUAUUGACCACUAAUUCUGUGCAUGCUGUCAUACAGAGAUGAUGACCCAUUCCUGAAGUUGGACGCCAGAAUGCAGGAAGGUGCUGUUUAAGAGCCAAGGCGGUGGAAGAAGCACUUGCAGGUAUGCUACCGACCAGGCUCCUCAACAUCAAUCCGAGACGGAAGAUGAAACGGGAUGAAGCAGUUAGAUUGAGACAAGGAGGCCGGAAACUUUGAUGACCUCAAUGACACUGGCUAGGUGAAGGACAUCAAGAAAAUGGCAUCAGGUCACCAGACAUCAGCUCAUAAUCCACAACGUCAUCAACCAUUUUGCGCCAAAAAUGAAGCCGUUCACAUACCAUGGCAUCCUAAGCAGGCAGCACUACACUACUGUGCAACAGUGAGAGGGAGUGGGCAAGGACAAGUAAAGCGGACCUACACUACUGCAAGACUUUGACACUUCUCCACGUGAGAGGCAGCCAUCGCCCCCACCGUUGAGCAGUGUGUACCCAGUACCCCCAAAAGAGGAGAUGAUCCGACGCCCUCACAGCCGAUUCCCAAAAUUGUACACAAAAACUCUGUAUGGGCAAGUGUGUGUGUGUAUGAUAUUGUAAAACUUUUCAGUCCAUCUUCUAUACUAUACAAUGUAUAAAUAUACAUGUGAAAACCUAAAUAUGCAUUAAAAACCAUUACUGAGGUUAAGAAAUGCAUUAUAACAAAUACAUCUGAUUCAGGUGUACUGUACAUAGAAAUGUCUUUAUUUGCCACAAAUACAUCACAUCCUGGAAACCUGUACAAUGUGUAGAUUCAAAGGUCUGCCAGAUCUUUGUGACGGCACAGGAUUGCAGUGGAACCCAAACAUAGCCUAUGAACUCCCACGCCAUCUCACCAACUGCCGAUAUGCAGUAUGCCUGAAUUUCCUGUACAGCAAAGAAAUGUAGAGAUUGUGCCUUCAUCGAGAAUAGGUCAUUUGGAAUCACAACAUAUUCAAUUUACUUUGUGCGUGUGGUGUAGCUAUUGCUGGUAUUAUUAUGUUACUAGUGACCCAUUUAGUUGAGCUCAAUAGUCUACAUGACAUCUCUGCACUUGUGUUACCACUAUUGGGAUUGGCAGCUCCCUAAAUGAAAAUGAGAAGAACUUGCCUGGAUGAAAUGUUAUGAACUGUGUGCGUUGUGCUGCUUGCUGAAGUAACAUGACACCCACAUCACCUUCCAGAAAUAAAGUGUAUACAGGCUACCUAACCAGAGUCCUAGAGACCUAUUGCUGCUGUGUGAUGAAAUCCAGGCAAAG